rnacentral:miRNA from 1 species
AAACUUUUAUAUAUAUAUAUAUAUAUGUGUGUGUGUGUGUGUGUGUGUGUAUAUACACACACACACAUAUAUAUACACACACAAUAUUGAACAUAAUCUA